UUAUUAAUCUGUGCAGAAGCAACUCGUGAUCCUGUGCUUUAAGCUUGUGAAUCUUGUGAUGAAAGUUAUUUAUUUAAGAUAAUAUUUUCUUCACUAUUUGAUAGAAAAUGUGCUGUAUACCAUUUUAAUUUUCCCUCAACAAUUCAAAGUUAUAUAGAGCAAAAAAUAAAGUGUGAAUUGAACAUAGAAUCUAAUGUUAACAAUGGAAGCAUUCACCUUGCGAAGUCUCGAUACAUUAUGGGACAAAGUUCUGUGAGUACAACCAAAUUACCCACUGAAAGUAGUCCCGAUUUUUCUGCUUCAAUAAUGUGUAAAACAAUUGAAGAAGAUGGAAUGACGAAACUAAAAUUGUACCAAAACAAAGAAAACACUAUAGUUCCACUACAUUGGUUUGGUGUUUUGGUGCCGCAGAACCUGCAUAUGGCGCAAAAAAUAUUUCAAACAACAUUAUCAUAUGUUGUUGAAUGUUCAAAUAUUCAGUUACAACUCGAAGAAAACAUGAAGAACAUAAACGCUCUGAGAAAAUAUUUAAACAUUAUUUCAAAAAGUUAAAAUUUAUUGUAAUUAAUGUGCUUUGUUAAGUUUAUUCUAAUGCAGAUUUCUCUAAUUAAGCUGUUGCAAAUAAAUUAUUGUUAAUUUACAAUAAAAUCAGCAUUGAGUAAUAUUGUGUAAAUAUGUUUUGUUCUUAUUAAACCUUUUAAACAAGCAAUUAUUAUUUUUAGGUAAAAACAAUAUGUAAGCAAAAUAGUUUCAAGAAAUCAUGCAAGAGCAUAUCGACGCUUGAAAGGCAAAUGUGACUAAGCGACAAUGCGUUAACUUUACAGUAGACUAAUUUAAAGUUGAAAUACCUGAAAACAAAAUUAAUUUUAACGAAUCUAGCUGUAGUAGAAUCUAGCUAGUAGCUGUAGGAUUGAAAUGAUUUUAAUAGACCUAGAAAUAUAUUUUUUUUGUGCAUCGAAUAUAGUUAUUGCCUAUCAUUUAUGUACAAAGCAGUUAUUGUCGCUUAGUAACGUUUGCCUUUCAAGCGUUGAUAUGUAAAAAAAAAUGUUGAGUGUUGAAGUGAUUCUAAAAUAUAAUAGAACUCUUUAAAUAAGAAACUGUUUUUAACAUCAAUAUCUGUUUAUUUGCUUAAUCCAUAAAAACACAAUGACAUAAAAUAAUUUAAUUGGUUUAUGCUCAAAUUUUUGUAGGCACACAUUGUUUUUAGUUUAUUGAAAUUUAUCCAAUCUGUAUUUAAAUGUCAAUAUAUGCAUUGAGAGCCUUGAUGAAAACUCAAAAUACAAAGAUAUCUGAACAAAAAAAAAAUUAUGACGUCUGAUAUUAUGAAAUUGAAAUAUGUCAUAAGUAAUUAUAAGUAAACUAAACAACUUUUAAAAUACAAUCUUAUGUAAUGUGCAAUUCGAUUGUGUAUUAUUAAAAAUAUUUAGGAAAUUUUAUAAA